GUUUUUUUUAAACAUUGAUAUACACUGUAUGUCAAAAGAUGUCCCUGCAGAAGGAAAUUAUUGAAGAUCAUCAUAUUAUUUUUAUAAACUAGUUAACUUAUUAAUUAAUUAACCAAUCAAUUCAGAGCGGGUCUUCACAGUACUUGGCUCUAACAACCGUAAAUUGAGAUCGGGUUCCUGAUAAAAAGCAUCGGGUGUGCACUCCGAGUUCCCGCGCAUAGUCAGCAUGCAGACGCCAUGUUUAUGAUGUUGUGACCUAUUGACCUAGCGUAAACAUUAUGAACAAAGAAUAGCCUUCAACAGGGACCCGAGGGAGUUCGUGGUGUUAUCCUGAAGAGACUCCCAACCAUAAAAUAUAAUUCAUGAUAGAUACAGAAUUUAUAUGGUGUGACCACUGACCAGACUGGUUUUAAUAUGUCAUUCUGAGAAUUACACUAUGCAGACAUGGAUCAAUGUUUAUAUAGUUCCAAAAUGAGUUUACUCUGAAUGACACUUCAGUUCAUGGACAUUUUAGAAUGUACAUCAUCAAUGUUCUCCCAAAGGAAAGUGAGCAAAAACUUAUCCAGAGAAUCAACAGCACAUUUUUGUGAAACUUUUUAAAAUGUGCAGGUAAUAUUGCUGUUAAAAUAUUUUGUAUCCUAUGAUCUGUAAUAAAAUAUAAGUGGCAUAUUGAUAUAACUUUAACUUAGUUAUAACUUUUCAACUAAAAUGGGUAGGGAUUUUAUGUUUGCCAUUUUUUAUUCUUUGUGACAAGAAAAUAUUUUUUAAUAUAUAUACAAACUGUAAAUAAAAGUACCUCAUUAAUGACCUACUAAGGCUUUCUGAUGGUACCAAAUUUGAGCUUUUCUGGCUCAGUGGUUCUUAAGAAGAUUUUUAAAGAUUUUUCCUAUAUAUUUGUAUGUAAAACUUUGAUCCCCCUUGUGGCCCCAUCCUACCCCCGGGGGCCAUGAAUCUGCAUUAUAUCAGGAAGCUUUCAUAUAAAUCUCAGCUUUUCUGGUCAGUGGUUCUUACGAGGAAGAUUUGAACAAACUUGAAUCUGCACUUUGAACAAACUUGAAUCUGCACUUUGAACAAACUUGAAUCUGCACUAUGUCAGAAAGCUUUCAUGUAAAUAUCAGCUUUUCUGGCUCCGUGGUUCUUGAGAAGAUGGUUUUUAAAAGAUUUUUCCUAUAUAUUUGUAUGUAAAACUUUGAUCCCCCCCUUGUGGCUCCAUCCGACCGCCGGGGGCCAGGAUUUUAACAAUUUAGAAUCUGCACUACUUAAUAAAGCUUAUCUAUAAAUUUCAGCUUUUCUGGCCCAGUGGUUCUCGAGAAGAUUUUUUAAUGACCCUACUUUAUUUUUACCUUUUCUUGAUUAUCUCCCCUUGGGAGGUGGCCUGGCCCUUUAUUUUAACAAUUUAGAAUUCCCUUUACCUAAGGAUGCUUAGUGCCAACUUUGGUUGAAAUUGGCACAGUGGUUUUUGAGAAGAAGCAAAAAUGCUAAAAGUUUACAGAUGGACAGACGCCGGAACACAGGUGAUCAGAAAAGCUCACUUAGCUCAGGUGAGCUAAAAAUAUAGUGAAAACAGUUGGAAAAUUUCCAAUCAUUUAAUAAACCAGUUAUUGACAAUUAAUUCGGUUUACUUGUGACUAUAUGGACCUGACUAGAUCUAUAUUAUUUACAAGUAGACUGAAUCAAAGUUCAAUAAUCAUAUAGUAUACCAUGAGACAUGGCAACUGUACAUAACUCUAACAGACCUGAAG